ACUAAAGUAGUUUAUAUAAAAUAAGGAGUUGUGGGUUCCUAGAUUCUUGAACAGGUUUUAGUU
rnacentral:tRNA from 1 species